rnacentral:rRNA from 1 species
GGGGGAUAUUGCACAAUGGAGGAAACUCUGAUGCAGCAACGCCGCGUGAGUGAUGAAGGAUUUCGGUCUGUAAAGCUCUGUUGUUUAUGACGAACGUGCAGUGUGUGAACAAUGCAUUGCAAUGACGGUAGUAAACGAGGAAGCCACGGCUAACUACGUGCCAGCAGCCGCGGUAAUACGUAGGUGGCGAGCGUUGUCCGGAAUUAUUGGGCGUAAAAAGCAUGUAGGCGGCUUAAUAAGUCGAGCGUGAAAAUGCGGGGGUCAACCCCGUAUGGCGCUGGAAACUGUUAGGCUUGAGUGCAGGAGAGGAAAGGGGAAUUCCCAGUGUAGCGGUGAAAUGCGUAGAUAUUGGGAGGAACACCAGUGGCGAAGGCGCCUUUCUGGACUGUGUCUGACGCUGAGAUGCGAAAGCCAGGGUAGCGAACG